GAGAGAGAGAGAGAGAGAAUGCCACCGCACAGAGGUGACGUGGGCUGUUGUUGGCGGCCCACAGUGCCACAGUUAGAGGAAGAAAGAAUUCAGAAAGUUAUUGUUUUGCUUGUUUCAUCGCAGAAUUAGUGCCCUACAGGAUUAGUGCCUUGCAAGGGGCAUUACUAUAUACUCGGCAGGAUUCAGAGGUUGGGGAGUACAUGAAGACCAGCAGCAUUUCGGACCACUGAUCUCAACACUGCUUCAGCUACCUGCGUGGAGGGCGAGCAGCGGAUGAGAAAUGCCUUCAGUUCAGCAAGUCAAGAAUAACUUCAAUUCUUAGAAAACGAUUAAGAGUCGUGUUCAUCCCUGCGGAGGUUGAUUCACAAUCCACAAGCAGGUCACCCAAGCCUUCAUGAGAAAAGUUUAACGGCAAUAUGUUUUGAGACACCAAACUCUAGAGGAACCUCGGAAAAGAAAAGUCAUGAAAAACUACAGGGUGAGCUUGACUUAAGAAAUUGCAAUGGUAUCUUUUCUUUAACCUUCUUUAAACAAGCUGAUAGAUAUUUUAUUGACCACAACAUACAGUAAGCGACAUAAUACAAAUAACCAGCAUGCUCCAGCACAUCGCUCUCACACUAAACACAUCUGACACAAUUAACACAUUAGAAACAUACAAGACACACUUUUCCUCACCUGUCUCCUGAGUCCCAACUCCUGUUUUCUGAUGUGAGGGUCUCGUUUGUAUCUUCUCAGGUGGAAUUAUCUUGAGAGCACAUUUCCCCUUCCCUUACUCUCACCCCUGCUCUGCUGUCUCCCCUGCCUUCCCUGCCUUCACUCUCCCCACGUCUCCCUCGUCUCUCCCCACAGCGGGUUCUAUUGCAAGUUCGAAAUGUGAUCGUCAUUAAAGUUAUCUUGAGGUAAUUCCUCCGCGGUCGUCAGAAGGUUGAGUGAGUGAGGCUUGCCGCUGCCUAGGUGGGGGGGUGUGGCAUGGGCUGGUGGGACUCCGCAAGGGGACUGGUGGCUUUAGAAUGGCCUGCUGGGGUCUGAGAACGGGCUAGUGAUACCUGACCGGGGCUUGAUUGAGACUAGAGGAGUCCGUGUAGAACUGAGCGGUGGCUUAUAGGCCUGCUGGAAGGGAUACACACACACACACACACACACACACACACACACACACACACACACACACACAC